AAUAAAACGAUUAGGCACCAUUUGGUUCGGGGGAUAAGCGGGAAUAACGAAAGUUAUCCCCGCUAUUCCGCCAAACGGGAUCAUUUUUUACCGGAAUAUUUUAUUCCGGUCAAAACUUGCUAUUCCCGGUUAUUCCGGAAUAGCAAGCUUUUUACUAUUCCACCAUUUUGGUGGAAUAGUGCUAUUCCCAUGCUUAAUUUCAAACUUAAUUAAAAUUAUAAAAUAAAUUAAAACUAAAUUAUAUAAAUAUAAUAUAUUAUAUAUUAUAAUACAUUAUUUUUAUUAUAAAAUUAUUAAUUGUGCUAUAUUAAUACAUAUUAUUUAUAUUUAAAUAUUAUAAUAAAUUUUAUAAUAAAUUAUAUUUAAAUAUUAAAAUAAAUUAAAAUUUAAAAUUUAAAUAAAUUUAAAAUUUAAAAUAUUAUAAUAAAUUAUAUUUAAAAUUUAAAAUUUGUAAUCUCAAAAUUAAAGUUUAUAAUUUUAAAUUCCACAUUUUAAAUUUUAAAUUUAAAUUUUAAAAUUUUAAAUUUUUGAAAUUUUAAAUUUGAAUUUUAUUUUUUUUCAAAUUUAAAUUUGAUCUUAAAUUUAAAGUUAGAAAUUUAAAAUUUAAAUUUUGAAUUUAAAAUUUGAGAUUUUAAAUUUUAAAUUUUAAUUUCAAAAUUUGAAAUUUAAAAGUUAAAAUUUUAAAUUUUAAAAUAUAAAUAUAAAAUAUAAAAAUUUAAAUUCUAAUAUAAAUAAAAAAGUGAUAAUAUUAUUAAUUUUUAUUUAUAACUACCCACUUUAAAUCUUAUUCCAUCUUACCUAACCAAACGUUAUUUUUCUUAUUCCCAGGAAUAACCCAAUUUUCAUCCAAACGCAAAAUUGAUUUAAUCCCCGCUUAUAUCUCAAUUUAUACCUAUUCCUGGAAUACCUACUUUUUGCUUAUCCCCGAACCAAACGAUACCUUAGUAAAUAGAGAAGAAAAAAGAAGUUCACAUGAUCAAUCUUAGAACAGGAUAAAGUUUAGGUGGGUGUCUAUACAUUAGUAGAUUAUAUUUAAUUGUAUGGAUUGUUGAUUUUAAUACUCUUUCCCUCUCUUUUUAUAUAUAGCCUGGUGUUACUAUUGGUUAAAGAUAAGGUUAAAUAAUAUAAAAUAUAGUAUGACAAAGGUUCUUUUCUUGUGGGAUACUUAAAUCCUAUUAUGAGUUUUACUUUCGCUUUAUUAGAUUAAUUCUAAUCAAACAAAUUAAUUGUCUAUAAAAAUAUUAUUAUUCUUCCCUAUAAUGUGAGGAUGUAUGCAGUACAGUGAGGCAUCGACAAGGCACUUCAUCUGCAACCCAACAGUUAUAGUGAAAAAAACCAAUUUGGUUGAACCAAAAUAUUGACAAUUUCAGUCUUGUUCGCUUUGUUGUACUGUAGAAAACUAAUAGAUAUAUAAAAAUUGCUAUUAUGUAGCACUAUCCCUUAGUCCCAAAGACCAAUUAAUUCAGAGGGGAAAAUUGCAUGCAUCCCCUUUUAAUUAAUUUUGAGUGGUGUUCUUGUUGUUGUUUAAGUUGAUGAUCACUAUUAGAACGGCUGCUAUGGAAGGUCUAAUUAAUUAAACCAAUUACAAAUGGUCUAAAAGAAAAUUAUGUCCUUUCGUGUCAAUCAAGAUCAUUGUUGACUCACGCUAAACAAGUUGGUACUAGUCCUUGGCCUCGGGAGUACUUGUUCAAAUUUUAGUGGGCGCCUUUUUUGGCCCGGGUACAUUGUUAGUUGCUGCUAUGCUGUUGCUACAGUUCGAAUCCUGUGCAGGGGGGGUCGAAACCGUGGAUUGCCGAUAGGCCACUAAUAAAACAAUAUCCGUAUUCCUUGAAAGAUGUUUAAUUAUCUAGACUAGACUAGAUGCGCGUUUGAUUCGAUUUAUAUAAUAUUACAGUUUAUCUCAACAUAAUUAAAUAUCUAAAAUUUCUGAUUCAAAUUAUUACUUUGAUUGGAUUAGUACGUUUAGCUCAAUCCAGUAAUGUAAUACCGAAUUAUAGCGUAUAUUGUAUUAAUAUGUUUGGUUCAUUUUAUUAAAUUCAAUAAUUCUUACCGUAAAUCGUAGGCCAGUCCAAAAUUUUCUUUGGCAGCAGCGUCGACGGUAGAGAGGCAGCUGAGGUGGCCGAGAUUGGUAGUUGGGAAGGGUUCGUGAAAAUGGAAAUAGAAGAAGAGAGAGAGAAUAAUGACAUGUUGAAGGGGUUGGAGAGGUUGGAUGGGUAAAAUUAGAAUUUCACAUAAUAUAUAUAUGAUUAACCGCCAUCAGUAAUAUGAGAUACCUAUCCACUCGGUAAUAUGUCAGAGUAAUCUUGCACCAUUUGUAAUUAAUGCUCAAUUAUUGACCGAAUUACAAAUUAGAUGAAUCAAAUACAGCAAUACUGAUAAAAUUGUCUGUAAUCAUGACAAGAUAAGCUGAAUCAAAUACGCUCUUAGGCAUAUUAUAUAUUAUUUUUAAGUUUUUUAUUUCGAGAAAAAACACUCAUCUUGAAUACGGAAGGUACGUUGCUGAAUAAUCAUUGCUGUUAUGAUCAUGCAAUCGAGUGAAAGCAUGUUCCAAAAUUGCAAUUACAAAAAAAUAAAAAUUAUUUAUUGGUUGACAGCAGUCCACGGAUGAUUGGUUUUCUCUAUAUCAAUUGGUCAAAGUGCAUCAAGUGAUCAUCCCGUCUGACUACUCGUUUCCUUCUGGACCACUAAUUUUCACCGCAUAAUCAAUCCGUGUCCAUGAAAUUCGCUAACCGAAUAAAUUGUUAUUGUAAAUAUAAGUGUUUAUCUCAAAAUUUUAAAAAGAGCAAAACUUCUAUACAAUAUACUUGCAAUACUUUUAAAAGGCAAGAGAGUUCAAAAGUUUAAAUUAAAGUAUAAUUUCUUAAUUUGUCCGAGUAUUGUUGGAAUACAAUAAAGUAACGGGUUGGUAGGUCCUGUCAACAGAACUACAGGAGAGAGAAAAACCAGGUCGGUAAAAAUGUACCGAGGCCCCUCCACUAUAGGACGGAUUGAAUGCAGUCCUUAACCUUUUUUAAGUUAAAAUUUUAUGAAUUUUUUUUUAUUUUCAUUACAAAUAUUUAAGGCAAUUUCACAAAUAUUUUACAUCUGGGAUCCGUUUCAAUACCGCUUGUAGUUGGGGGUAGGGGUGGCAACCCAACUCGCCGUUCGCGAGUCAGUUCGUGUUCGGCUCAAAAUGAGCUCGAGAUCGAAUCGCUCGUUUAGUAAACGAGCCUGACACGAGCUGAAUUUUUCAGCUCAUUUAAUAAACGAGCCGAACACCAGCUAGGGUCAGCUCGCUCAUGUUCGGCUCGAUAACAGCUCGAAUACAUAUAUUUUAUAUUUAUAUAAUUUAUUUAAUUUAUAUUUAUAUAUAUAAAUAAAUAACUACAUAUAUAAUAUAUAUUUUUAUUAUUUAAUUUUUAGCAAAAUAAAAAUAUAAAUGUGAACUCAAUUAUAAACGACUCAUUUAUAUGUAAAGUUUCAAACUAUUAUAUAAAAUUUAAUGGAUNUGAACGAGCCGAAUACGAGCUGAAUUUUUGGGCUCGAUACUUUAAUGAACCAGCUCGUGUGUUCACCUCGUUUAAUAAAUGAGCCGAACACGAGCCGGCCCAGCUCGCUCGUGUUCAGCUUGUUAAUUUACACCCCUAGUUGGGGGUUAUCGAUCGCCGUACGUUUUUACAUUUCUGCUCUAGUGAAAAUGUGUAACAAACCCUUCAACUAUAUUCUUAAAAUAGGGCCUUUAACUAUCUAGUUCUAUUUAUACACAUUUUUUUAAUUUUUUUUGACUGAGUUAUUUUCACUAAUUAAACUGAAAUUUUUAUUAAAUUAAAUAGUUACUCUUAAGCCUGAUUAUUUUUAACACAUUUUCAACCUUUCACUUUAAUCACUAACUUGGAUUAAAAAUAAUUACUUGCAUCUAAUUUAUGUAUUGUCCGUAUAUUAUGAAUCUGUUGAUCUUUCAUCCAUUUCAUAAUGUUAAUUCAAUAGUCCAAUAUUUAAAAGAACAUUAUCUUAAUGGGACAGCUCAUUGAAACACAAGAUUAAAAAAAUUAAUAAUUAAAUAUGUGGUAGAUAACUAUACUAAUACACUGGGUAUAGGCAAAUAAUUUGUCAUUAAAUACUAAAUGUGUAUGGGACAAGUAAAAUUUUGAUAAGAUUUUAAAACCUUUAAUAUCAAAUUUAAAAGUUAUAUAUGGGACAAAAAUAAAACUAAACUCAAGUUGAGGGAAUAGUGGUGCAAUUUUUACUAGAAAUUAAGCAUCAAUUCUAUCUAUUUAUAGGCUUUGUUCUUCUAUUUUUAACCCUUCACAAAGAUAGGGAUGACAAUUUUUUCUGCAGACCUAGAUCCCCGCGAGGAUCUAUCCCCAGUUGAGCGAGGAUGGGGAGAAUUUUGUCUCCGCCGAGACUGGAAAAGAAAAAAUUUUCUCCCCGCUCCUAGGGAAGGGGCAGGGACGGGGGAGGGGCCGGAUACCACUCCUGCUUUACGAAAUAGUAUUAUACUUAGUUAGUUAAUUCGCGUUUAAUACGCGAAUUAAACGGCUAUUUUUUUACAUACGAAUUAAAGGCGAUUUUCGUAUUUUUUCGGAAAAUUCGAAAAAAAACGCGAUUUCUUUCUCAAAAAUCAUUAUUCGCGAAUUAUUCGCGAUUCGCGAAUAAUUCGCCCAAAAAAUUGGCGAUCGCGGUCACGGACUUGCGGCCGAGGGUCGCGUCGUCGCCUCUCUCGUCGCCGCUCGUGUCNAAAAUUUUAUUUAUAAAUAUAUAUUCAUUUAUUAUAUAUAUUAUUUUAUUUUUAUAUAGAAAUAUUUAUAUAAUAUUUUGUUUAUAAAUUUGUAAUUAUUUAUUAAUAUUUUUAAAUAUAUAAAUUUUAUGUAUUAUUAAUAAGGUUUAUUAUUAAUAUAUGAAUAUAUUUAAUCUAUAUAUAAAAAUUAUAAUAAUAAUAUAUAUAGUAUAUUAAUUAUUAUAUAUUUAUUAUAUAGCCGAAUUUUUGACCCCGAAUUUUUAAUUAUCCGUAUAAAUCACGUAUCCGAAUAAUUACCGAACCCGUUUUUUAGCCGUAUUUUUCAACGAAUUUAAAAAUUUAAAAACGAAUUUUAUCCGAAUUAUACCCGUACCAAAUUUUUGCUGAAUCCGAAUUAACUAACUAUGGUUUUAUAUCAUUAUAUAAUGUUAACAUAUUUAUAUUAAUAAAGAAAACUAAUUUUAAUAUUUUUAAUAUAUUCUAAUUAAAUUAAAUAUUUUAAACAUAUUUAGUUUUUUAUAUAAUAUAUUAGUUAAAUAAUACUUGAUAUCUAUACGCUUAAGUAAUUUGAUAAGUCACACUUAAUAACUUUGAUAUUUAAAAAAAAUAAAUUUAAUAACUAAGUAAAAUUUUAUUAAAUUUUAAAGAAAGAAUUAAUUUAGCUAUUUUUUAAAAAAAUUUGCGGAGUUCCAGCAAGGAUCGCCAUCCCAACGGGAACGGAAACGAAAACUGGAGAAAUCUUUUCCCCCCAUUUGCAGAGAUUUGGGGGGGAGGGGAAUUCUAAAAGCUCACGGGAACAGAGACGGGGAAGGGAAAGGAUAUAUGCUCCGCUCCGCUCCGUUGCCAUCCCUACUCAGAGAACAAGUAGACUCACAGAGAACAAAAUAAGUAUAUUUUUAAUCCUCUAAUUAUUGACUAAUUAAUUUACCCUUCUAGAGAGCACCGAGUUAUAAAAAAAAAAGACAUGAUAACAAUGACAAUGGGAAGAGUCGUUUAUUAAUUUUAUUUUGUGACACUUCUACAAUUCAAACGGAUCCAAAAUGACAAAAUAAAAAAUAAAUAAAUAGAAAAAAAAAACAAUCUUCCUACUAACAUGUGAGAAUUUAAUAAAGUUUCUCAGAAAAAAGAAGUUCACAUUGGAUUCUCUAAUCUUCUUUUCAAAUUAUAGGCACAAUUAUGAUACUUGACUGUUAAAUGCACCGAGUCAUGCUCAUGCCAAACUUUUUGUAUUUUUUCCAUGUCUCCGGCCAAAAUUUUCUACAUACAAAUAAAGAGUAUGCAUCCUUGACCAAGGAUUAGAUUAUAUUAAUUGGACCUUCCCUAUAUUUAUAGUGAUCAGCCUUAAUUAGAAAGUGAAAACAAAGAAUUGACCCAUGUUUUGGGGGUCUUCAUCACAUAAUAAUAAUAAAAAAUCUAUACAUAAACGUCGGAGCAUGCAUCAAAAUAUUAUAUGGGUAAAAAUACAUAUAUAGAUAGUCCCUGUGCUAUCCUAAUAUUUCUAGUUAUUUGCAUACUUUAGCCUCAGAACUUAUAAAGAUACUGCUCCUAUGGUUCCCGAACAAUAAAAAAAUUAAAAUUUUAUUACAAUAUAAUAUUUAAAAAUAUUUUUAAAUAGCUGAAUGUUUAAUUUUAGGAUAGAAAAGUUUAGUCAUUUCAUGAGAAAAAUUAUGUCUUUCGUUUCAUGUUAAAUGACUGGGGCGAGUUCGGAAUAUCAGGAUAGUAUAUAGGGACUAUCCCUAUAUCUUAGUCUUAUUUAUCAGAGAAAAAUGCUAGCUAGCUAUGUGGACAACCAAAAAAGAUUAUAAUCUUUACAACCCUUAAUUUAAUAGCUUAAUUAAAACGAGUUUAAACAACUCAUUUUAAAUUUUAGUUAACUUUAUCUGGGCUAAGUUGGAAGAUCAUUAGAGUCGUACGUAAGACCACCAACACUCUAUUUACUAAGGACGCUACUACAGAUUAUCCCAAAUAUGGUAGAAGGUAUUCUACUAUGCUGUAGAUGACAUAAAACAAUGUCAUUAUUAUCCCUAAACAUUAAUUACUAAAUCCUAAAAACUAUUAUUGAAGCCUAUGCAUCAUCAUUAUACCCUAAACUCUAAACCGCAUGUCUAUAUAUAUGGAAACAUUAACAAUAUAUUGAAGUAUAUACUCCAAAGUGGGAGAUCCAAAGCAUUUCUGAUUAAACUAAUCUAUCCACAUGCACGGUGCCUAACAAAGGAUGCAUUUAUUUGCACACCUCAAUUUGUUGGUCGCCAAUGAUUGCCUCGGUUCGGUAUUUUGAAAACGCCGAUUCAAGCUAAUGAUUAAGUAAUAGAAAUGUGGUAUGCAAGUCAAUAUACUACUACCUCUGUUUGGCUUUCUUUGCCUUUUAUUUUAAGGAUCGGCGUUGAAUGAUAAGCAAGUUGUCUUAAGUACAUUGGAACAAUUUUUUAACUUUUCGGUGGCCCCAUUACUAAAUUUAUAUAGUAUAGGCAACUAACACUACAACAAAAUUAAAUUAUAGGGACACAUGUUUGGGACACUUUUGAGUAAGUAUCCCAUUUAUGCUAAAACUUAAAAAAACAUCUACUAAUGCCUAAAUAUAAAGCCCAAUUCAACCAAAAAUAAAAGAUUACUCUACUCAACUCACCACACCCAGUCCAUUUGGUCCGAUUACAAACAAAAAAGAAAAAAAAAAGAAAAAUCAAUUACCAUAUUUUCUUCUCUCUUCACUCAAUCUAUUGAAAUUCUAGAGGAAGAGCCUUUCUUGUCGUCCUCCUCCGCCACCGUAGCCAACGAGAUUGAGUUUCGACGGUUGCUAAAUGCUUAAAUAAGUGUUGGUAAAUUAGCAGCACUCUUUUAGGUUAUAGCGACACUCUUUAACUGUCACUAUAUACCUAGCGACCCCACAUAUAGCAACACUUUUUAAAAGUGUCGAUAAUUUUAGCUAGCAGCACUUUUUUGACAUGUACCUACAUUUAAAAGUGUCGCUAUAGACCGUUUUUGUUAUAGUGUAAUUAAUUAAAUAGCAUACGCGUAAGGGACUAUUAUAACAAGGACCUAAUGAAUAUUAAUAAAAGGGAAAAUUUAAAAUAAAAAUGCAUGUGCGAAGAGGCCUUUUAAACCUAAUUUAGCACUUGUAUAAAUAAAUCUCUUAGCUUUUAAAUUUAGUAAUGAAAUUUUCUAUGUUUUAUGAUCAUAUGAUUUAAUAGAUUUCUCUCCUCAAACGAUAGUCAUUUCAACCGCAUGUCUCGAACAUAAUUUUGUGCAGCUUCAAAAUAUGAAAAAAAUGUAUAAUCUCUAUAUAUCAGUUAUGAUAAUCAUGUAUUGGAGUUUAAAAAUAGGAUAAACCUUACUUCACCUUUUAUUAUUCUUUUUUUAUGUGUUAGAACGUAAACGAAAAUGUAUAGAUUUCUUUGUGUUUUAAAGCUUUAAUAUAAAAUGUGCAAUAUAAGAAACCAAAAUGACAAUAUAUAUAAUUUGCUAACUCUGAUUGAGGGCAUGGACCUAUUGAACUACUAAAUAAUGUUUAGAGAACUAAUUAUUAAAAGUAAAAGUUUAGGCGUCUAUUUGUGAAUGUGUUAAAUUAAUGUUAGAGGAUAUUGUGCAUUUUCUAUCCCGGCCAGUAGAACUUAUUAUUAUUAUUAUUAUUAUUUAUUAUUGAUAGGGCGAAAUUAAUAGUCCUUGCAUUGGCAAGAUAGAUUGCAUGCAUCUAGCCUGUAAAUAGCUAGUGAGAAUUGAUAUUAAAAUAAUUAACUAGUUGUUUUUUAAUUGAUAGGGCAAAAUAGUCCGAAUCUUGGCAAGAUAUAUAUGUUUUACCUACUCAAAAAAGAACUUAAUUAUCCAUGCAUGCACUUCUCCGGCUUUUCCGUUAACCUCCCAUUUAAUAAACAAUUGUCUAGUUUAAGUGUAAAAAUUGGUGGAUUUAUUUAUAGUGCAAUUUAGUAGGCCUUAAUUCGCAGGUAAAGAAUGUCUUUCAUUAAAAUUGUGUUGAAAUUAAUUUCCCACUCUCCUACAUCUUUGGGCUUUUGCUUGUGAUGAAGCUAAUGUAUCUUGUCCUUGCAUCAAUUAAUGAUGCAGCGAACAAUUAAGAUAGGGAACGAAUAUAUAUAUAGGAGGGCCAAAUUUUGUAGAAGAUAUCUAUAACUCUAUAUGAAUCCCCAAUAAAAAUGAUGACAUAGUAAGCCCUCCUUCUUUUAGAUUUUUUAUAUUUUUUUGUUCUCUUUGAACCGACCUCUCCUCUUCCUUCAACCGUUUCUCUUUUUCAUAUGACAUUUUAUCUUUUGCUCUCUUUGAAACGACCUCUCCUCUUCCUUCAACCGUUUCUCUAUUUCAUAUGACAUUUUAUCUUUCCAAUGUGACCGUUUCUCUUUCCCAUAUGGAAGUUAUCUUCUCCAUGCGACCGUUUCUCUUUUCCAUAUGACAAUUUAUUUUUCCGAUCAUGCAACCGUUUCUCUUCGCCAUAAUUUCAUAUGAUAUUUUAUCUUUCCAAUGUGACCGUUUCUCUUUCCCAUAUGAAAGUUAUCUUCUCCAUACGACCGUUUCUCUUUUUCAUAUGACAAUUUAUUUUUUCGGCAUGCAACCAUUUCUCUUCACCAUAAGUUGUGGUUUCUUCUCCUGCUUCUUCAUUGCCAUUUUCUUUACCAUCUUGCCUUUUUUAGUACAGAUUAACCAAUUCUCUACUUUUAUUUAUCUAUAGAAUUCUUCAGCAUAUUUAAUAAUAUAAUCUGUACAUUCUUUCAUGUUGGAUUUGCAUAAUUGUAUUGAUUUUUAUUUUUUAUUUUUUCAGUAUCAUCCUGAUGUCGAUAAACAGCCUGGAGUUACUAAAAAAGUUCAAGAUGAUAAGCGUGCGGGUAUAUAUAUAUAUAGAGUUGAGCUGGAAUGCUAUCGGUAGCAAACUGGCUCCGUUGCCACCCAUUUGUUUUCGAUGAUGGAGCCUUUAAAUUGAUGAUCAGCACCGUUGAACAUGAUCUAUACUACUUGAAGUAUCUAGAAACCAAAUUUCAAAUCAUUUCGACAUCAUUGACCUAAUGAUCAAAGGGUUUCAAAAUUUAUAAUUUUAAUGGUAGAUAUGGGGCGUUUUCUCGUUUAACGUUGUAAAACUAACCAAAUCAAUUGAAUUUUGGUUAGAAAAUUCUUUAAACUAUUUAGAAUAAAAUCUAUACUCUCAAUCUUGAUUACAAAAUUCCUAUCGUCACUUUUUAGAGGAUAUUCAUUUUCAGCCGUUCAUUUUUACGCCCACUUGAUGGACAAGAGAACAAUAUCGGAAAAACAUGAAAUUUGAUUUCUAGAUACUUCAAGUGGUAUAGAUCAUAUUCAACGGUGUCGAUCAUCAAUUUGGAUGCUCCAUCAUCGAAAACAAAUGGGUGGCAACGAAGCCCGUUUACUACCGAUAGUAUUCUAGCUCAACUAUAUAUAUAUAUAUAUAUAUAUAAUUUAGAUGUUUUAUGAUAUGAAAUUUUUUAUUAAAAAAUUUAUUUCAUUUUUUUUGUUUUUUAGUUUUUCGAGCUGUCUUAGUGCCUCCUUUUACAUGAAAAGUUUUUACUUCUUUGGAGAACAAGAUUUAAUAGUCAAUUUGAAGACCAUUAAAUCAUCUCAAUGCAAGUUGUUGUUCCAUUUGAAUAUGAUUUUCUUUUUCUCUAAAAUUAUUUAUCAAUUAUUGUUUUGCAAGUUUUGAAUUAGAUUCCGAUAAUAUUCAGUAUCGGAGAAAGAUCAUUUUCAAUUAGUUGUUUCACUUUGAGAAUGAAAAAUAAUUCUUUUUAUUACUAUUCUUAUUACAUUAUUCCUUAUUAUUAAUUAUUAUUAAAAUUAAAAUUAUAUAUAUAUAUAUAUAUAUAUAUCUAAUUGUUUUUGUGAUAAGUUUUAUUUUUCUUUUUUUUAUUGAUGGAUACUUUUUAUUUUUCAUUGGUAGCUUUUAUAGUUUCCGUCCGCUGCGAAGCGCGGGUCUCUUCACUAGUAUUUAACUUAUUCCUUGGUGAUCAUACUACCAGAACUUCAUUUCCUCCAUAAUUUUUUACUAGGGAUAAUUGCGUAUAUACCCCUCAAAACUUCAAAAAUAUCUGAUUUAUCCCCACUUUUUUUUUUUUUCUUUCUAAUAUACCCCUCAUAUGUUCCUCCGUUAUUCUAAAAUACCCCUGUAGUUACCACCCGUUAAGUUAACUUGGGUUAAACGUGAGUUAAAUAUCUACUACAGUUAAAAAAAAUUAAAAUGCCACUUUUGUCCUUAACUUAAGGGCAAAUAAGAAAUGUUGGUGAUGAUAGAAGGGAAAAAACAAAAUACCUUUUGUGCCCAUAACUUAAGGGCAAAUAAAAAAAAGGGAUAAUUGCCUAUAUACCCCUCAUGCGUAUGGAAAUAUCCGAUCUACCCCUACUUUUUUUUUUCUUUCUAAAAUGCCCCUCGUGCGUUUCACCGUUAUUCCAAAUUACCCCCGCGGUUAUCCCCUGUUAGCUUAACUCGGGUUAAACAUUGGUUAAAUGUAUACUAGAGUUAAAACCUAUCUAAAAUACAUAUUUUGCCCCUACCUCUUUAUCCUAAUCCCUUAAGUUAUCCUUUCAUUCUCUCCCUCCCAUCUUUACUCUCCUACGCCCAACUUGGCGCCAUUCGCAACCGUCGUCUUCAACCUAGAUGACAGCCUUGUUGGAGAGAAAAUUGUUGCUUCUCCUCUACCAUUUCUCUGUUGUCCUUGGUAAAAAGUACUUCCUCCUUCUCCGCUGCCUCUUUCUCCGCUGUCUCCGUUGAUCUUCGCCACCAUUUUCAUUAUUUAGGGUUUUGGGGUAUCCGAAUAUUGUGCUAUGUUGGCAGGAGAACAGGGUCAACAUUGUGUUCUUACAACUUUCUACGUAAAGAAAAAGAUAAGAUUCAUGAAAUUUUGUAAUUUUUUACAUCUAGGAUUUUUUAAUCUGCUAUAUAAAUUAACUUCUUAUCAUUUUAUUCUAUGAAUUAAUUUUUUGUGAUUUGAUCUUUAAUAUCUUUUGCAUGCAUCGAAAUGUUGCAUUAUAUUUGGUGUUAUUUAAAUUUAGCUAUUAAUUUGCAAUUGCAGCAUGGUACCAGAUUAUAGAUUGAAAGUUAUGUAUGGGGGAGUGUUUAAACCAGUAAAGACAAAGUUAGGCAGAAAAUAUGUGUAUGGAAUGCAAACUUGCUACACAGUGCUUAGUGAUACAUAUACUUUAAAAGAAUUUUUUAAAGAUAUCAAGAAAAUGUGGGAUUGGGGAGAAAAAGAAUAUGUGUAAGUGGCUUAUAAAUCAAAGAAGACCAAAGGAGAAUCCAAUUAUGUGCAAGUGGCUUAUUUAGUUUUUAAUUCCACUGAAGAUGACUCAAGUGAGAAUGAGUUAGUUUAUGACAAGGAGAAUUCAAUUAUAGACUAUGGUGUGAAAUAUCUUGAUGUCAACUCAUUCCAAAGUACUCUUCUUCAAUUUGCUGUCCAAAAUCAAUUUCAAUACACGGUUAUAAAAAGUGAUCAAUCUAGAGUGAUAGCAAGAUGAAUGACAAAAGAUUGUGGGUGGAGAAUACAUGUAGCAAGGAUUUGAGGAAAGCUACCUUUUAGGUAAAGAAGUAAAUUUCAAUUGCUAUUAUGUCUAAUAUUACUUUACUCUAAUAUAAUUAUUUCUUUCAAUCUAUUAUAUCGACAGGUCAAAACUUUCCAAUCAGAGCAUACGUGUGAAGUUGUCAAUAGGUGUGGAAACAAGAAUGUUACAAAAGGAUGGAUUGCAAAAAGAAUCACUAAUUGGCUAAAAAUUAAAGGUGAUAUACCUGUGACUGAAUUAUUUAGAAGACUUAAAGAGCAGUUGUAACGACCCGACCCGCUGGCAAUAAUAACUUGUUGAACCCAAACAACCAGCCCAAAAUGCUUAAGCCCAGUUAUUAUUACUAGGGUGGAGUCAUCUCAUAUACCCAAUGACAACUCCAUUUUCAUCCGAUGUGGAAUAUUAGGGUGUCACAAAUUCCCCCUAUUUAGGCUCUAACGUCCUCGUCAGUUCUAAACACACACACAAUCCAAGAUCACCAGAUGAUGUGAAACUGAUCUCGUUAGCUUUGUCAUUCCGACCAUGGCUUAGUCUGUCAUUCCGAACCUGGCUCAGACAAGACUCAUUUCACACUUCCGGCUAGUGAGCCCUAAUUAUUAUUAUUAGGUUGGAAUCCUUUUAUAUAUUGUGAGACCCCAAUUAGUCCUAUAUAUAAAAUAUAGUAGGACUAAAUUUCUUAAUCUGGUUAUAACAUUUGGGACAGUGGUUAAGCCCAAGAGGUUAAGAGAGUUAAAUAUGCCAAGACUAGAGUAGUCCUAGGAUGGGUGACCCCCUAGAAAGUUGGGACGUGACAAUUAGUAUCAGAGCUAAUUAUCAGCCGGAAAGCAGUUGUUAGGCCCAAGAGGUUAAGAGAGUUAAGUAUGUUAGGACUAGAGUAGUCCUAGGAUGGAUGACUCCCAGAAAAGUGGGACGUCACAGGUAACAUUGUUUGACCCAAUAGUUGAUCACACAUGGGGAAGGUAAUGGAAAAACCUUAUAUGAGUGGGAUAUAAAAUUUACAUCUAAGUUUAGAUAUAUGAGCAGCAUUGCUCCUUAAUGUAAAGAUGAUGAGACCCCCUCCUCAACUAUCGGCCAUGCUGGAAUAGACCUCUGAAUUUUAUUUUAUUUUAUUUUAUUUGUAGAAACCUCUUAAAAUCGUAAUUUUAAUUUGCAUUAGGAUAAACUUAAAAUUGUUCCCGCCGGUCAAGCGCAUUUUUUAUUUAGCUCAGAAAGUUAUAUUUAAUUAUUCAGUAAUUUUAUUUUAUUUCGUAUUCUUAAACAAAGAAAUAAAACAAUACUUUUCGAAAUCAUAAGAUAAUAAAGUGUUGAUUUUAAAAUUAUAAAAUGCUGUAUUAUACCUCUCCGUAGUUCGCAAAGUGUUCAGUAUAUAUAUAUUGUCAUAUUUUAGGUCCUUGCGAUAAAUAAAAUAAAAUUAUAUAAUAUUUAAAUUUGUAACUACUUAAAUUAGAGAGUCGCAAUAUAAAAAAUGCGUUAAACCGCAUAAGAGCAAAUCAGAGUUUGUCCAUUGCAUUAUUAUAAUACGAGUUAAAAAUUAGGUAAAAUUUAAUCAUUUUCUAUUAGCCAACUAAUUAUUAACUGUUUUAAUUUAAUUUAUUUGCUACAAAGUUAUUAUUAAAAUUAUCGGAUCUAAUAAACUCGCAAACAAAUUUUAAAAACUUCUAAUUAAAUUAAUUAAAAAUACUUAAUUUUAAAUUAUUACAAAUUAUGGAAGGUAUUAAUAAGAAAAAAUGGAUUUAAGAGUGCCUUCAAAUAUUUCUCCGAAAAAGUUGAGAGGUCAAUUUCAAAAUACCUGAUAGUUGAGGGGGUCUCCUUACAUAUUUACUAACAAAAAGUAUUGGCAAGUGAUAGGUCACUGUUGGUUGACAUCAUGAAAGCUAUCUACUACAGACAGCUUCUCGGGCCGAGUUUGCAGGGCAUUGAAAGCAAAAUUGUCCAUCACAAUAAUUGGAGAAACACAGCAGGCAUCAAAUCACAAUACAAAAACCAUUUUAACUGCAAACUGCACAUUUGGGGCAUGUUUGUUUCACGAAAACUGAACUUUGGAUUAAAAUGGACUUUGGGUUGAACUGGAGUUCGGUGAAAAUUACUUCUUUUUCGUUAUUUGUUUCGUAGUUAUGAAAGUGAAGUUCCAUUAGUUCUGGUGUUUGUUUAGUANGGUUCCAAAACAGCUGAACCGGUCGAAACGAGCUAUUGGACUGAUAUGAACGGAGUCCGAUACGCGCCAGAAGCCAACUCUACUCCGUGGCUUCUCCGGAAAAUCGGAGUUACUAUUCACUUAAGUGAAAACUAAAAGUCGCGUAUCUUCUCCAUUUUAGCUCAUUUUCGCCCGAAACUUGACGAGUGCUUAUGUAAUUAAAUUACACACAUAAACAUCAUCAACAGAGAGUUUAGUAGCACUGUCAAAAAUCUCAGUCCUUACAUGUAGUUACCACCCGUUAAGUUAACUUGGGUUAAACGUGAGUUAAAUAUCUACUACAGUUAAAAAAAUUAAAAUGUCACUUUUGUCCUUAACUUAAGGGCAAAUAAGAAAUGUUGGUGAUGGUAGAAGGGUAUAUUUGAAAAGAUCAAAAAACAAAAUACCUUUUGUGCCCAUAACUUAAGGGCAAAUAAAAAAAAGGGAUAAUUGCCUAUAUACCAUCAUGCGUAUGGAAAUAUCCGAUCUACCCCUACUUUUUUUUUCUUUCUAAAAUGCCCCUCGUGCGUUUCACCGUUAUUCCAAAUUACCCCCGCGGUUAUCCCCUGUUAGCUUAACUCGGGUUAAACAUGGGUUAAAUGUAUACUAGAGUUAAAACCUAUCUAAAAUACAUAUUUUGCCUCUACCUCUUUAUCCUAAUCCCUUAAGUUAUCCUUUCAUUCUCUCCCUCCCAUCUUUCCUCUCCUACGCGCGACUUGGCCCCAUUCGCAAACCGUCGUCUUCAACCUAGAUGACAGCCUUGUUGGAGAGAAAACUGUUGCUUCUCCUCUGCCAUUUCUCUGUUGUCCUUGGUAAAAAGUACUUCCUCUUUCUCCGCUGCCUCUUUCUCCGCUGUCUCCGCUGAUCUUCGCCACCAUUUUCAUUAUUUAGGGUUUUGGGGUAUCCGAAUAUUGUGCUAUGUUGGCAGGAGAACAUGGUCAACAUUGUAUUCUUACAACUUUCUACGUAAAAAAAAAGAUAAGAUUCAUGAAAUUUUAUAAUUUUUUACAUCUAGGAUUUUUUAAUUUGCUCUAUAAAUUAACUUCUUGUCAUUUUAUUUUAUGAAUUAAUUUUUUGUAAUUUGAUCUUUAAUAUCUUUUGCAUGCAUCGAAAUUCAUUAUAUAUGGUGUUAUUUUAAUCUAGCUGUUGAUUUACAAUUUCAGCAUGGCACCAGAUUAUAGAAAAUCACUUUCAGCAUGGCAUUAGAUUAUAGAAAAUCACUUUAAUUUUUUGUGAUUUGAUCUUUAAUAUCUUUUGCAUGCAUCGAAAUUCAUUACAUAUGGUGUUAUUUAAAUCUAGCUGUUGAUUUAUAAUUUCAGCAUGGCACUAGAUUAUAGAUUGAAAGUUAUGUAUGGGGGAGUGUUUAAACCAGUUAAGACAAAGUUAGGCAGAAAAUAUGUGUAUGAAAUGCAAACUUGCUACAUAGUGCUUAGUGAUACAUAUACUUUAAAAGAAUUUUUUGAAGAUAUCAAAAAAAAAAGUGGGAUUGGGGAAAAACAGAAUAUGUGCGAGUGGCUUAUAAAUCAAAGAAGUCCAAAUGAGAAGCUCAAAAGUUUAUUGAUAUUAAAGAUGAAAGUGAUUUUCUAUAUAUGUUAGACCAAUUCACAGAUGGUACAGAGAUAAAAAUAUUUGUUACUAUUAGUUCCGAUGGCAUCGCUUUUAAUUUCAAUGUUCAGGAUGUAGUUGAGGAUAUAGUUGAGGGUGAAGUUGAGGGUGAAGUUGAGGUUGAAGAUGAUGUUAGAAUUGAGAAUGUAGCUGAGGAAGAAGAUGAUGUUAGAAUUGAGAAUGUAGCUGUGGAAGAAGAUAAUGUUGGAGAUGAAUAUGCUGAUUAUAAUGGUGUAGAAGAUGCUGUUGGAGAUGAAGGUGUAGAUGAGGAAGAAUAUAGUGUUGAAGAUGAAGGUGGAGCUAAUCUAGAGACUGAUUAUGAUGCUGUAGAUGAAGGUGUUGGAGACAAGGAAGCAUAUGGUGUUGAAGAUGAAGGUGGAACUCAUCUAGAGGCUGAUUAUGAUGCUGUAGAUGAAGGUGUUGGAGAUGAAGGUGUAGCUGAGGGAGUAGAUGAAUCAGAUAAAUCCUCUACUAAAAAUUUUGAAAAGAAUUUAGGCUUUAGUUCCAUUGAAACUGACUCAGGUGAAGAUGAGUUAGUUUAUGACAAUGAGAAUCCAAUUGUGGACUAUGGUGUGAAGUAUCCUGAUGUCAAUUCAUUUAGAAGUGCUCUUCUUCAAUUCGCUGUCCAAAAUCAAUUCCAAUACAAGGUUAUUAAAAGUGAUCAAUCUAGAGUGACUGCAAGAUGUAUGACAGAAGGUUGUAGGUGGAGAAUACACGGAGCAAGGAUUCGAGGAGAAGCUACCUUUUAGGUAAAUAAGUAAAUUAUAAUUGCUACUAUGUCUAAUAUUACUUUACUCUAAUUAUUUCUUUCAAUCUAUUGUGUCGACAGAUCAAAACUCUCCAAUCAGAGCAUACGUGUGAAGUUGUCAAUAGGUGUGGAAACAAGAAUGCUACAAAAGGAUGGAUUGCAGAAAGAAUCAUUAAUUGGCUGAAAAAUGAAGGUGAUAUAUCUGUGAGUGAAUUGUCUAGAAGACUUAAAGAGCAGUAUGCAAGGUUAGAGUUGCCCUAUUUAAGGCUGUGGAAGGGCAAGGAGCUCGCUAUGACCCAAUUACAUGGAAAGUAGGAUCUAUCAUUUUUAAGAGUUUUUGAUUUUUGUGAUGAGAUUAGAAGAAGAAAUGUAGCAAGUCAUAUACAGAUUAAAUUGAUAGAGUUGGAGGGUAAACAACAUCUUCAGCGAAUGUUUAUUGCUUUUGGGGCUAGUAUACAAGGUUUUCUAACAGGGUGUAGGCCAUAUGUCGGUUUAGAUGGAGCUCAUCUUAAGGGUAAAUUCAAAGGGAUUAUUGUUUCAGCAAUUACAUUGGAUGGAGACAACUCAAUGUUUCCGGUUGCAUAUGGUGUGGUUGAGUCAGAAUAUGCAGAAAGUUGGAAAUGGUUCCUAGUAGCUCUCAAGGAAGCUAUAGAUUGUCCUAAUGGUUUGGUUCUAUCCAGUGAUAGGCAAAAAGGCUUAGAUAAGGCCCUUCUAGCUGUCUAUCCUACUGCUGAACAUCGUGAAUGCAUGCGUCACUUAUAUAGUAACUUCAAGAAACGAUUUCGAGGAGAUAUUUUGAAGAAACAUCUAUGGGGAGCAGCUAGGGGAUAUACAAGUUCAGCAUUUCAGUACCAUAUGGAAAGGGUGGAGAUGGCAGAUAGUAGAGUGGUUGAUUACUUAAGAGAGAAUCAUGGUCAUGUAUGGAGCCGCUCUUUAUUUGGAAUAGAUGCUAAGUGCGAACAAGAAACCAAUAAUAUCUCUGAGACUUUUAAUUCUUGGAUCAGUAAAGAAAGGAAUAGACCAGUGAUAGAUAUGAUGGAUGCCAUACGACAGAAAAUAAUGAUUAUGAUGAACAAAAGAAGAAGAGAUGGAGCAAAAUGGUCAACAAAGCUUGUACCAGGAGCAACUAAGCAUAUCAACAAUUUGACCAAGGUAAAUAUAAAAACCUGCUCAUUGUUUCUUACUAUAAAUUAUUUCUAAACAAGCAAACUUACAAACUUGUAUUGUGUUAAUGCUAGGAUCUUGAAAAUUAUAAAGUGUUGAGGUGUAGUGAUGAGCAAGUGGAGAUAGAAUGGCCGAAUUCAAGAUGUGAUGUAAGGUUGGAUGAGAGGACAUGCACAUGUAGAACAUGGCAAGUCUCCAGAUUGCCCUGUGUACAUGCAAUUGCUUUUAUAGCUAAGAUGAAACUCAAUGCUGAAGAUUAUGCAUCAUCAUACUUCACUGUGGAGAGGUAUCGAGAUGCCUAUUCAUUAAAUAUUAAGCCAUUGCCUGCCCAAGAGGAAUGGAAAAAGAGUGAUAUAGGUUUUAGUGUAUUGCCACCUAUAUUAGCAAGACCUGUUGGCAGGCCACGAAAAAAAAGAAUAAGGGGAGCAGGAGAGAUGAUUAAGAGAAAACACAAAUGUGCUAGAUGUGGUGGUUUUGACCAUCAUGCAAGAACUUGGUAAGAAUACUGUUCCAGUAGCAGGUUCUAGCCAACAAUCUAGAAGGUAAUUUAUUUCUUUCAACCUACUAUAUUAUCUUUCAUAUUUUUCACUAGUUUCAAUAUCUAGAUAUAGUAAUCGUGAAUUUCUUUUCCAGCAACAUAAGAAGAAAAAAUAGUGGAUCGCAACAACAAGAGCACGAUUUUGAACAUGCGGCAGCAGCGAGAUCACAGCAGCAAAAAGGGUUAUUUCAUAAUGCUACAUCUUUCCAUCAAGCUAUUAUCUUAUCUUUCAUUUUUCUUAUAAUCUUAAUUUAUAUAAUUAGUGACUUUAAACUUCGAUUUCAGUAAGAAAAAGAAGAGAAAUAGUGGAUCGCAGCAGCGAGAGCUAGCUCAAGAUGUAGCAGCAGGGGCAGUACAGCAGCAAAAGGGCAAUACAGCAUCUUCAAGGUAAAUAUAUUUCCAUACAGCAUCUUAGUCUUAAGUGCUAAAUUCAGUGACUGUAAACUUCAUUUUUAGAAAGAAAAGAAGGAAAAUUAGCGGAUCGCAGCAGCGGGAGUUAGAUUCUCAAGUUGCAGCAGAAACAUCACAGCAAAAUGCGGCAAUUCUCUAUUCACAACAGGGUUCAACCAUUUUUAGCAUUGAUGCAAAUAGAUUGCUAGGUUGAGAAUGCUCUGUUAUUUUUUCAAUGAAUGCUCUGUUAUUUUUUGAAUGAAUGCUUUGUUAUUUUUUGGAUGAGGUUGACCCUAUUUUUUUUGGAUAAUGAUGGAUGAUGAUGGCUUGUAAUUUUUUGGAUGCUGAUGGCCUGUAAUUUUUUGACUGAUGAUGACCCUGUUAUAUUUUGGAUGUGAUGACUUAUAUUUUGGAGCUUGAAUGAUAUUAUUGUUAUUCAUGAUACAAUUGUUAUUCAUGAUGACUUAUAUUUUUGGAUGAUGAUGGAAUUGUUGGUCUACAAUUGUUAUUCAUGAAAGUUCUGCUAUGAUGUAAUCCAAGUAAUUGCAAAUAUUGAAUGAAUGCUUAAAUAAGACAUCCUACAUAAUAAUACUUCUUUAACAGAGAUAAACUAUUGUAAUUGCAUCCUGCAAACCAACCCAAUUACAUGAAAAUUAUAUAAUACUCCAUCACAUCCUGUAUUAUAUAGUCCAUCAUAUCUAAAAUACUCCCCUUAUCAGUAUAUCAAGGAUUACAAUACAGAAAAGUAAUUUAAGCCAGAAUAGAACUUUCACUUCCAUCCUUUGAAUUUUUUGCUCAGUGGCUUCUCCAAUUGCUUUUAACUGAUAUUUUAGAUCUAAAGUGCUGUGUUGCACAUCGUCGGUCCAUAAAAAAUAAUUGCAAUGUCCAACUCCUUCAACCUGCAAAGAGAAAAAAAAAAAUUCUUAUAUAUUAUUCGUAAGAUAUAGUCCAUGCAGUUAGAAUAUACAAUAGCUUAUCUUACCCCACAAUUUAGGUAGCGGUAGAAUCGACGUCCUUGGCUUGUUGGCUGCUUCGAUACCCAUAUUCUACAAGAUCUUUCGCAGUCGCACACAUGAAUUUGUGCGCCAGGAGUUGAUGCAGAUCUCUCACUUAGAUGGCUCAUUAUGGCUAGAAGUGAGGCAAAUAAGAGAAAAAAAAAAGCUAAUAGAUGGAGAAGUAAGCUUGACUUAUUUUUGAGCUAUGGAUGUGCUUUUAUAAUGUUAGAAAAGAAGGCUACCGUUGAAAUGACCGUUGGAGGGUAAAUAGGAAACGAUUUUGAUAUUUGAAGGGCAAAUAAGAAAAGUAUUUGCUACAUGAAGGGUAUAUAAGAAAAGUUAGUUACGGUAUAAGGGUAUAUUGGAAUGGGCAAAAUGGUAAUUUUUCAGGGAUAACGACAACUGUUAACACCUCACUAACGGAAUUUAACUCCAGGGGUAAAUUAAAAAGAACUUGGAACAUAAGAAGGGUAUUUUCAAUAUUAGUCUUCUAAGAGGGGUAAAUAAGAAAAUCGGAAACUUUCAGGGGUAUAUAGGCAAUUGCCCCUAAAAACAAUUAGAAGGACAAAAUAGUAAUUUCAUAGAGAUAAUAGAGUUCAUUAACAGAUUUUAACUCUAGGUAUAUUUGAAAUAUAUUGGAACGUAAAAAGGAUAUUUUCAAUAUUAGCCUUCUAAGAGGGGUAAAUCAAAAAGUUUCCGCUAAGAAGGUUAAAUCAAAAGGUCGAAAACUUUUUAGAAGUAUAUAAGCAAUUGCCCCUUU
rnacentral:lncRNA from 1 species